rnacentral:rRNA from 1 species
AUUGAACGCUGGCGGCAUGCCUAACACAUGCACGUCGAGCGGAUGCUUCGAGCUUGCUCCUGGAUUCAGCCGCGGCCGGGUGAGUCAUGCCUUUGAAUUUGCCUUGUCGUGGGAGAUAACGUCCUGAUACGGGCUCUAAUCCUGCAUCCGUCCUGUGGUCGCCUUUGGGGGAUCUUCGGUCCUCUCGCUAUCUUAUGAGCCUAGGUCGGAUUCGCUAGUUGGUGGGGUAACGGCCUACCAAGGCGACGAUCCGUAACUGGUCUGAGAGGAUGAUCAGUCACACGGGAACUGAGAAACGGUCCAGACUCCGACGGGAGGAAGCAGUGGGGAAUAUUGGACAAGGGGGGAAAGCCUGAUCCAGCCAUGCCGCGGGUGGGAAGAAGGACUUAGGAUGGGAAAGCAAUGAAAGUUGGGAGGAAGGACAGUAAGUUAAUACCGGGCUGUAUUGACGGUACCAACAGAAUAAGCACCGGCUAACUUCGUG